UUUAGACACAUCGUUUUAUGCUUGUCCGGGAAGAUUUCAGCUGAAUUAUUUGGAGAAGUUUUGGACCAAAUAGAUUUAGACGCUGGCGCACAGGCUGGACUUGCUGGCGGAAGCAGUAGUGGCGUGCAGAGGAGGGAACAUGACGAUGAGGAUGACUCUUGAUUUUAUGAGGAACGGUGGCAAUCACUUCUAAGCCAAGGGAGGAGUGUUAUUGUUGUUGGUGAUCUCUAGAGGAAAAAAUGCUCGUGGACUUGGAUAUCGGUUUGUCAUAUUUUUAAAUAAUCAUGUGUGACUUUGUUGUGGAAAAAAUAAUCAUGUGUGACUUGGAUAUCGGUUUGUGUUGAGCCCAAAAACAAACAGUGAGUUGAUUGAGUCAGUUUACAAAUUUAUAUGCGUAUGUGGAUGAUUAUAAGUUGGCAGACGAGAGAGAUGGGAGAGAUGAUAUGUAUAUGUGAUUUUUAUGUGUGACUUUGUUGUGAUUUUUAUUGUUGAUUAUA